CGCGUAUUUUGCGAUGGCGGAGCUCGACCGCCACGGCAGAUGAUGAUGGCGUUCAUCGACGCCCAUCGCGAGGACCUGGGUAUCGAGCCGAUCUGCCGUGAACUGGCGAUCGCCC
rfam:Novosphingobium sp. AAP93 AAP93_Contigs_142, whole genome shotgun sequence.